AUCUUACUUCAGCACUGCACUUCAUAGGCUCUACAUUUUACAGCAUGAAGCUCCGCUGUUUGAUUUUUGUGUUUUCACUUCUUGUCAUAGCAUGCUGUUUGGCUGCUGGUGACUCUUCUGUUGACCGACUAGCGCCCGGUGGUCCAGAUCCUCAACACCACGGUCACCCAGGAGUUUACAGCAUCUCUUCUGAUGGAGUUGCUCCAAACCGACUAUCCCCCGGAGGUCCAGACCCACAUCAUCAUCGCUAAAGUGGAUCCCCAGCAUGUGUUAGGCUAACAAACCAGUUUAAACACUUAUUUUAUGAAUUAAUAAAUUUAAAACAACUUAA